rnacentral:rRNA from 1 species
AGAGUUUGAUCCUGGCUCAGGACGAACGCUGGCGGCGCGCCUAACACAUGCAAGUCGAACGGAGCUGAGAGGAGCUUGCUUUUCUUAGCUUAGUGGCGAACGGGUGAGUAACGCGUGAGUAACCUGCCCUGGAGUGGGGGACAACAGUUGGAAACGACUGCUAAUACCGCAUAAGCCCACGGCCCGGCAUCGGGCUGCGGGAAAAGGAUUUAUUCGCUUCAGGAUGGACUCGCGUCCAAUUAGCUAGUUGGUGAGGUAACGGCCCACCAAGGCGACGAUUGGUAGCCGGACUGAGAGGUUGAACGGCCACAUUGGGACUGAGACACGGCCCAGACUCCUACGGGAGGCAGCAGUGGGGGAUAUUGCACAAUGGGGGAAACCCUGAUGCAGCGACGCCGCGUGGAGGAAGAAGGUUUUCGGAUUGUAAACUCCUGUCGUUAGGGACGAUAAUGACGGUACCUAACAAGAAAGCACCGGCUAACUACGUGCCAGCAGCCGCGGUAAAACGUAGGGUGCAAGCGUUGUCCGGAAUUACUGGGUGUAAAGGGAGCGCAGGCGGACCGGCAAGUUGGAAGUGAAAACUAUGGGCUCAACCCAUAAAUUGCUUUCAAAACUGCUGGCCUUGAGUAGUGCAGAGGUAGGUGGAAUUCCCGGUGUAGCGGUGGAAUGCGUAGAUAUCGGGAGGAACACCAGUGGCGAAGGCGACCUACUGGGCACCAACUGACGCUGAGGCUCGAAAGCAUGGGUAGCAAACAGGAUUAGAUACCCUGGUAGUCCAUGCCGUAAACGAUGAUUACUAGGUGUUGGAGGAUUGACCCCUUCAGUGCCGCAGUUAACACAAUAAGUAAUCCACCUGGGGAGUACGACCGCAAGGGUUGAAACUCAAAGGAAUUGACGGGGGCCCGCACAAGCAGUGGAGUAUGUGGUUUAAUUCGAAGCAACGCGAAGAACCUUACCAGGUCUUGACAUCCGAUGCAUAGCUUAGAGAUAAGUGAAGUCCUUCGGGACAUCGAGACAGGUGGUGCAUGGUUGUCGUCAGCUCGUGUCGUGAGAUGUUGGGUUAAGUCCCGCAACGAGCGCAACCCUUAUUGCCAGUUACUACGAAAGAGGACUCUGGCGAGACUGCCGUUGACAAAACGGAGGAAGGUGGGGAUGACGUCAAAUCAUCAUGCCCUUUAUGACCUGGGCUACACACGUACUACAAUGGCGUUUAACAAAGAGAAGCAAGACCGCGAGGUGGAGCAAAACUCAAAAACAACGUCUCAGUUCAGAUUGCAGGCUGCAACUCGCCUGCAUGAAGUCGGAAUUGCUAGUAAUCGCGGAUCAGCAUGCCGCGGUGAAUACGUUCCCGGGCCUUGUACACACCGCCCGUCA